CGGAAGCGCUGGAAGCAAGAUGGCGGCCGCCGAGAGGGUUCACAAAGGGUAGGGUGGUGUGGAGCAAGGCAGGGUCCUCGCAGGCAGUGCCAAGAUUGAGCUGGGGGUGGGCAGAGUGGGCGGGGUGCGGACCCAUGGCCUUACGCAUCCUGGGCCAGGUCUCUUGUGGUGCUUCACGCUCUCGACCUGUGAGUGGUGCCUGCUAGAGCUGCCCAGAUCCCUUUUCCCUACCCCUUCUGACCCUGGACCCAGAGUGGUGGUUGCGAUCUGCUACCGUGACGUCAGCCCUCAUUCGUUCGUUCCACAAACUCCACAGCUCUGGUCCAUUAGAGGAAGGAGGUCCCAGAAUAGCUGGGAAAUUACGAGAACAGCCUCACUGCACGAGUUGGUGAAUGCUGUGGUGCGAUUGUAUGAUGGACGGUGAUGUUGAAACCAGACUGGGGAAUGACCGCCCCAUCCGGAGAGCUAAAAUAAGUUUUUCCUGGGAACGAAGACUAUG
rnacentral:lncRNA from 1 species